rnacentral:rRNA from 1 species
UACGUAGGGGCGAGCGUUGUCCGGAUUUAUUGGGCGUAAAGAGCGUGUAGGCGGCCAGGUAGGUCUGCUGUGAAAACUCGAGGCUCAACCUCGAGACGUCGGCGGAAACCAUCUGGCUAGAGUCCGGAAGAGGAGAGUGGAAUUCCUGGUGUAGCGGUGAAAUGCGCAGAUAUCAGGAAGAACACCGACGGCGAAGGCAGCUCGCUGGGACGGUACUGACGCUGAGGCGCGAAAGCGUGGGGAGCGAACAGG